rnacentral:rRNA from 1 species
AUUGAACGCUGGCGGCAGGCUUAACACAUGCAAGUCGAGCGAGCGGCGGAAGGGUGAGUAAUGUCUGGGAAAAUGCCUGAUGGAGGGGGGUCACUACUGGAACCGGUAGCUAAUACCGCAUACCAUCGGAUGUGCCCAGAUGGGAUUAGCUCGUAGGUGGGGUAAUGGCUCACAUAGGCGACGAUCCCUAGAUGGUCUGAGAGGAUGACCAGCCACACUGGAACUGAGUCACGGUCCAGACUCCAACGGGAGGCAGCAGUGGGGAAUAUUGCACAAUGGGCGCAAGCCUGAUGCAGCCAUGCCGCGUGUGGGAAGAAGGCUUUCGGGGUGUAAGGCACUUGCAGCGAGGAGGCGUUACUCGCAGAAGAAGCACCGGCGAACUCCGUGCCAGCAGCCGCGGUAAUAC